rnacentral:rRNA from 1 species
AUUGAACGCUGGCGGCAUGCCUUACACAUGCAAGUCGAACGGCAGCGCGGGGCAACCUGGCGGCGAGUGGCGAACGGGUGAGUAAAAUAUCGGAACAUACCCUAGAGUGGGGGAUAACGUAGCGAAAGUUACGCUAAUACCGCAUACGCACUAAGGUGGAAAGUGGGGGAUCUUCGGACCUCAUGCUCAUGGAGUGGCCGAUAUCUGAUUAGCUAGUUGGUGAGGUAAAGGCUCACCCAAGGCGACGAUCAGUAGCUGGUUUGAGAGAACGACCAGCCACACUGGAACUGAGACACGGUCCAGACUCCUACGGGAGGCAGCAGUGGGGAAUUUUGGACAAUGGGGGCAACCCUGAUCCAGCAAUGCCGCGUGAGUGAAGAAGGCC